UACGAAGGGUGCUAGCGUUGUUCGGAAUCACUGGGCGUAAAGGGCGCGUAGGCGGCGCGGGAAGUCAUCGGUGAAAGUUCAGGGCUCAACUCUGAAUCGGCCGGUGAUACUCUCGUGCUUGAGCACUGUAGAGGCAGGUGGAAUUCCGGGUGUAGCGGUGGAAUGCGUAGAGAUCCGGAAGAACACCGGUGGCGAAGGCGGCCUGCUGGGCAGUAGCUGACACUGAGGCGCGACAGCGUGGGGAGCAAACAGG
rnacentral:rRNA from 1 species